rnacentral:lncRNA from 1 species
GAUGGUGGUGGUGGAUGUGAUCGACUAGAACCCGAGGACUUUGAUGAAGGAGGCGGUGGAGUACUUGUAGUAGGUGAAGGUGGAGACUUUCCGGGCUUAUGGUGAGGAGGUAUGCUUGUCUUCGGUGAAGGUGGAGACUUCUUUCCAGGCUUAUGUUGUGGAGGUUUGCUUCCAGGACUAGUUCCGCCACUUGGAGGUGAAGACGGAGAAGUAGCAGGAGGUGAUCCACCGCUUCCUGGACUAGAUCCGCCUCCUCCUCCUCCUCCACCACCGC